ensembl:snoRNA small nucleolar RNA SNORD109A
GGAUUGAUAUUGACAAAAACUGUCUGAGGAUGGUGAAUGACUCAUACAAAUAGCACUGUGAGGUCC